CCGUGGCCAUUUUAGCUCAAG
rnacentral:sRNA from 1 species